UAACCUGCCCAAGAGAUCGGGAUAACACCUGGAAACAGAUGCUAAUACCGGAUAACAACAGAUGAUGCCUAUCAACUGUUUAAAAGAUGGUUCUGCUAUCACUCUCGGAUGGACCUGCGGUGCAUUAGCUAGUUGGUAGGGUAACGGCCUACCAAGGCGAUGAUGCAUAGCCGAGUUGAGAGACUGAUCGGCCACAUUGGGACUGAGACACGGCCCAAACUCCUACGGGAGGCAGCAGCC
rnacentral:rRNA from 1 species